UACGAAGGGGGCUAGCGUUGCUCGGAAUCACUGGGCGUAAAGGGCGCGUAGGCGGCCGAUCAAGUCAGGGGUGAAAGCCUGUGGCUCAACCACAGAAUUGCCUUUGAUACUGUUCGGCUCGAGACCGGAAGAGGUAAGUGGAACUGCGAGUGUAGAGGUGAAAUUCGUAGAUAUUCGCAAGAACACCAGUGGCGAAGGCGGCUUACUGGUCCGGUUCUGACGCUGAGGUGCGAAAGCGUGGGGAGCAAACAGG
rnacentral:rRNA from 1 species